UCGGGCUCGGCCCGAUCCUCCCA
rnacentral:rRNA from 1 species